CUGAUUCAAAAAUACCCGAUGCUCAGGCAGGUGCAGAGAAAAGUUUGACAGGUUUGGCCGCAGCCUUGGCAGGAUCUAACUACAUUCAC
rnacentral:ncRNA from 1 species